AGCGGGCUGAGCAGCUGCGCAGGAGCGAUCCUGUGAGGAAAGUCCGAGCAUCACAGGGCAGGAUAACGGCUAACGGCCGCCGGGGGUGACCCUAGGGAAAGUGCAACAGAGAUAUACCGCCGCUUUUGCGGGCUUUGGCAUACCGCCAUUGAAUGCGCCUUUUGGCGCUGCCCCGCUGCGGUAAGGGUGGAAAGGCGAGGUAAGAGCUCACCGGCGCACCGGAGACGGUGCGGCCCUGCAAACCCUAUCCGAUGCAACGCCGACAGAAGCGACACAUUGGCCCGAUGUGCUUCGACGGGCGGCUAGAGCCGGUUGGCAACAGCCGGUCGAGAUAGAUAGCUGUUCACGACAGAACUCGGCUUACAGGUCCGCUCCC
rnacentral:RNase_P_RNA from 1 species